UGUAAAUCUGUGUCAAAAGUAUGAAAAGUAUGGUGAAAAUGUUGUCCAUUGUAUGAUUUUUGCUGAUAACGGAAGCUCAGGGAAUCUCAAUCCAUUCAGUUGGUUUUAUAUAAGAAAACGUCACAAUACCAUUCAAGACUCAAAAGGGAAUUUGGUUAACUUGCUAGUUUAUUAUCUAAUUCCUUAUGAGAAGAAUAAAUAAGCUCAGUUCUAAUUAGCCACAUUACAAAUCAAAAAAGUGAAAGAAAAAUGUGUUACCUGAUACAUAGUGGCUAUAGAUAUUGACUUCAAUAAUGACAAACUGAUUGUUCGCUGGUUCAAAGAAUUUAGUUCUAAGAAGCGUAUUUUAAGAUGAUUGUGGAUGCAAAAAAUUAUAAUA